AAAACCAAAUUCCUCGUUGAACUUCAUUAUCAAAUCAGGGCAUAUUUUGAAUCGAAUUUCAAGACAGUUCGGAUUAUAACAAUAGAACUAAACAAAACACAUAAAAACGAUUAAAAACUAUGGAUUGAUUUAGUAACAUAGUCCGAAAACGUUGCAAAACGUGUCUUUGUUGAGCCGCGGUGUCCUAACUUCCGUUUCCCUUCCACUGUUUCAGUUCUAUUAGCGGAAAGCAUGGCGUCGGGUCACAUCAGCAGACUGGCUCACCUGUUUCAUCGCGUUAAUAUUAGACCAUUCAGAGUUGGAACUUUUCUGUCAUCUCACAACAAAUCUACUGUCAGAGGUUCGUCCAUUAACGACAACAGUGAUGUGGAAAUCGCAGUGACAUCUGAUGGAAACACAAUAGUGUGUUAUCAUCCGACAGAAGACGUACCCUAUGAGUUCACA